AGCCUUCUGUAUCCGUGCUGAGAUUUCGUCACACACCAGACCACAAGGACUAAUGAGACUUCCACAAGGAUGUACAUCU
rfam:Schistosoma margrebowiei strain Zambia genome assembly, scaffold: SMRZ_contig0003477